AGGCUUCCAAGAAAAACCUCUAAGCUUCAGAUUAUAAGAACCCGUACCGUAAACCGACACAGGUAGUUGGGAUGAGAAUUCUAAGGUGCUCGAGAGAUUCAUGGCUAAGGAACUAGGCAAAAUAGACCUGUAACUUCGGGAGAAAGGUCGCCCUCAGUAAUGAGGGCCGCAGUGAAAAGGUCCAGGCGACUGUUUAUCAAAAACACAGGGCUUUGCUAAAUUGAAAGAUGAUGUAUAAGGCCUGACACCUGCCCGGUGCUGGAAGGUUAAGAGGAAGGGUUAGCGCAAGCGAAGCUCUGAAUUUAAGCCCCAGUAAACGGCGGUGGUAACUAUAACCAUCCUAAGGUAGCGAAAUUCCUUGUCGGGUAAAUUCCGACCUGCACGAAUGGUGUAACGACUGUGGAACUGUCUCAGCGAGAAUCUCGGCGAAAUUGUAAUGUGAGUGAAGAUGCUCACUACCCGUGGUAGGACAGAAAGACCCCGUGAACCUUUACUGUAACUUGGCAUUGAUUUUUGGUUUUGCAUGUGUAGGAUAGGUGGGAGACUUUGAAACGGUGGCGCCAGCUGUCGUGGAGUCGUCCUUGAAAUACCACCCUUGCGAAAUCGAACAUCUAACCGAUAAAGUUAUCCUUUAUCGGGACCAUGUCAGGCGGGCAGUUUGACUGGGGCGGUCGCCUCCCAAAGAG
rnacentral:rRNA from 1 species